CGAAUAAAUUCCAGUGCCCAUGGAACACAGAAAAGGCAUGGAACUCUAGAGAUGGAGUCACAGGUGUGGACCACCACACCUCCUUUGUCUGACUUGUCUCCCAGCUGGUGUGUGUAUCUCUGGGACAUUGUCUGGCAUGAGUCCCACAGUGACUCCAAGAGGCUUGACGGUGCCCCUGUCCUCCUCUCCCAGGGACCCAUUUGUACAGGCUAAGCUGUGGCCAGAGGAUGGCCUCUACCUGAUCCAGUGGAGCACCAGCCACCUGCACCGACUGAUCCUCACCGUAGCCCAUCGAAACCCGGCUUCCAGAAACGGCCCUAGGGGCCUACGCCUCCGAAAGUUCCCCAUCAC
rnacentral:lncRNA from 1 species